GCUCUUCCAUACUCGUUGGUGACAGCGCAAGAGGUGUGAUUUGCGCAUUAGGUGAGCUCAGGUUUAAAAUGCCAGUUGAUUGAGGUGUGGACUUGCGGAUGGUAUAAGAACGUUUAAGAGACAGUUGGUUAGCUUUAUGUUAACUUGAAACAUGGCAGAGUCGUUAGAAAGAGAAACCUCAACUGAGAAAAACGCUGCUUCCAAAUUGGCCUGUGGGAAUAUUUUGAUUACUGAUCAAUGCGGGAGGGCCCAUCUGAAUGUGUGCUGCUGCCACCCCUGGGCCGGUGGUCUUUCGGUAUGUGAAAAAGGCUGAGUGAACUAGCCAGAAAGCAACAUUCCUUCAGAGCUUCUUCAGUUCCUGCCUCAAGUUCCUUUGAUGAUGGGCUGUGAUGUGGAAGUCUGAAUCUAUGGACUUUUUCAUCUUCCUGUGAUAGCUGAUAGCAACCCAAAGAAGAUAGGUCAUCGAAACCGAAAUUACCUUCUAAUCUUCCUCCAGAAUUGUAAAAGGAGAAAAAUUUUGAUGUUCUUAAAGAUGGAUCCAUUAGCCUUAAUUUACUCUCAAGGACCCACUCUGGUACUAUUUGUUGUAGCUGUUAUUUAGUUGCUAGGACUUGAAAUCAAGACCUAGAACAUACAGGCACAUCUGUUGGAACAUACUUCUUCAGGACUCCAGCUUAUACAGAAGGCAAGCUGAAUCUCCUAGCCUCACAGGACUGAGCAACUACUAGACUCUUGGACUUCCCAUUCACAGCUGCCUAUUGGGUUGGUUGAACUGGAGACUUAAGUCAUUACAAUAAAUUCCCUUAAUAUAUACAUUCCCUAAGUCCUGUGACUUUAGAGAAUCCUGACUAAUUCAUGAAAAAGGAUUUGAUACUACAAAUGACCUGUUUCUUACCAUACUUUUGCCUUAAUUUUUUCUUUUUAAAAAUUUGGGACAUGAUAUCAUUUGCAGCCAUGACUGACACUGAACUCAUGUUCCUCCUGUCUUGGACUUCCUGAGUGCUGGGAUCACAGGCAAGCAUCACCACCUUUAACUACCUGGGUCUAUUACUAUUAGAACCUGUUUAUAAUAAUUGCCUAUGACGUUUGCUAGUUUGUAAUAUUCUAUUUCCUCAAUCUUGCAUUAUUCAUUCCAAUUUUACUACAAUGAAGACCUUUUCCUACUUACUUUUUUUGAAAAGAUUUGAUUAUAUAAGUAUGAAGGUACAUUUGUUUUAUUUCAUGGGUUAUAAUUAAUUAUGACCAACAUCAUUUUUCUAAGAUUAUCCAAAGCUAGGACAGCUUUCUAAUUUUCUGACAGAAAACUAACUUUUGUUAUUCAUAGAAUAUUUGCUUCUUUGCUAUAGACGGAUGAAGUAAUUUCAUAAUCGCUAACAAAUAUUUCAGAAAAGUAAAUGUUCAGAUUUUUUUUUUUUUCUGGUAAGCUACCUCAAAAGUUUUUUGCGCCGAAAACAAAAAGAAAGGGUUCAAAGGAAGGAAGGGAAGGAAGACCUUGCAUGCUUCUGUAUAUAGAAUAUAAAUUUCACUAGGCUUAGGUAAAAUAUGUACAUUGAUAUGAUAAACAUUAUUAUAUACAUAUUUUACAUCAUAUAGAUAACAACCUCACAGUAUAUACUUCUAUCAUAAGAAUAAAUAUAAUACCCUUUUCUUUAUAUAUUUUGGUCAGAAUAGGUCUCAAGCCAGCAGUAUUGUUCACCCAUUCAAUAAUCCCACAUUCAUCAUUCAGUGGAAUAACUGCAUAUGUUCGGAUAUGAAGUUCUCUUCGACGUGAUUCUGCAUCUUUUCUUAAGCUCUAUGGAAAACAAAGACAGAAAUAAAAAUAAAAUAGGAUUCAGAUUCCUAUUAUGUCAAAUAUAUCUAAAUAUUGUUCAUUUCCUAGUAAAAGUGCUGAUGGCAGCCUGUAAUGCAUAGUUCUGAAAGUUAGAAGAAGAAGCUAUGGGAUCAUCGCUAUCCUACUUCUAAACCUUAAGAUGCCUUGGAGUAGCUUCUCUUUAGUUCUCUACUAUGCAUGUAACAGAAUACUACAUUUGAAAAAGCAGUAUUUAUAGCCAUAUCAACAACAAAACACUAUUGUUUUCUUUUCUACAGCAUUAGAGAUAAUGAUUAAUAAUAAGUACUUAAGCACAGAGACUAUAAUGUUUAAUUUUAUCUAAGAAUUGUUAUUUUACUUUCCUCAUCAUAAGGAAUCAUACUAUCUAUCCCCCCACCCCCAAAUCCCCAAUCCUGUGCUGUAUGUAAGUCUGUGUAUAAAUAGACAUAAUUAAUCUUUUAUUCUGAGACUGGGUCUUGCUUGCCAAACUUUCUAAUAAAAAAUGAGUUCUAUUAGUCUAUAA
rnacentral:lncRNA from 1 species